CAUAUAUGGAAUGAAUCACCAGCGGAAGUGAUAGGUGCAGGUGCAGUUGCAACAUUAGAAGUAGUACCACAAAGUUUACUAAUUUGGUUCCAGGAUGAGAGUAUUCUUUGAAGUUCUGAAGACAGAGAAGUGAUAUCAUUGAUACAAACUGGAGUUCACAGGAACUCGACAGGGUAGACGCUGAGCUAUUUUCUCUAAUUGGGUAAAUGUCGAAAAUGGAAUCUAGACUUAGAACAAGGGAAUGAUUAUGUAGGACUAAAAUAAGGAGAAAUUUCUUCACUCAAAAUGUUGCAAAUCUUUGGAAUUUCCUGUGCUAGAUGAUUAUGGAUACUUGGUUAAUGAAUUAUAUUCAAGCAUGAGGUAGACAUAUGAUUUGCUCUUUCAGGGAAUCAGGAGAUAUGGGGACUGAAUGUAAAAGUGAAAGUGACACCGAAGAUCAGUCAUUAACAUAUUGAAUGGUGGAGCAAGCACCAUUUCGUGUGUUGAUAAAUUCCCAUAGAAAAUCUGUCAGCAUGUGCAACUGUGUUGAACAGCUUGGGCUAUUCAUUCACCACAAACCCCUUGCAUUUUAAAUAUUUCUCAACUGUAGGUGUGUUUCAAAACUUAUUGGUGGGCUUAUAUUACUGUAAUUUGUGUGUUUGCAAGAGAUGAAGCAGUUAAUGUGGUGCAUUAAUACUAUGUGGUAAGGAGGUUUGAACAGAUCAGCAGCAAUUUUUGGUUAGUUUGCUUUGAGUUAUAGUACUGUUUGGUAUCUAUGAGAUGAUUGGUCAAUGGAGCAUACUCCUUGAUGGGGAAGCUGUUUUUCUAGCCCGGGAAUCAGAAGAAUUGGAACAAAUAUGGAACUUGUCAUUCUUUUGUCAUAGCAGGGAUGCUAUCAGAAUCCAGACUUCCUUUACAAAGGCACAUUCUAGAAGGAGAUGAAUGACAGUCUCCAUACCAACCCCUGCUUUGAGGGCAGCAUGUGGUGGUACAAAUUGACUUGGUGUACAAGAAGGAUCCCAAAGGCUCUCAGGAAUGCUACGUGCUGACCACUUCCUGAUGGACUGAUGGUGGUUUUGUUUAAACAUUUCUCCAUGAAGGACAGAUGAUAAAUGGAACAGUCGAGCUGCUUGGAGUGUUCUGUGGCAACGAGGCCAGUCCAACCCUUCACAACAGCCAGGAUAGGUGGAUCCUCAGUACAUAGCGACACUUGGUCUUUGUGUGCUAAAGGUCUAUGCACAGCUUGAUGCAGCU